UUCGGUGGUCAUAGCGAUGGGGUAACGCCCGGUUACAUUCCGAACCCGGAAGCUAAGCCUGUCAGCGCCGAUGGUACUGCAUGCGGGAGC
rnacentral:rRNA from 1 species